UUACUCUCCCAGGCUUGUUCUCAGCCUUUCUGGGGACAAAUGAAGGAAGCAACUGGGGAGAAGAAACUAACUAGAGGUUUGGAGAUGUUUCUCAGGUUAUUUUGAGAACAGCCAAAUCUCAGGUUCCUGUAAUUAGGCAACCCACACAUGACCGUCAGCCUGCCUGGUGAGGUCUCUAGAUAACUAUGAUGAUGCAGUGGGGGAUAUAAAAGCAAGAUGAAAGAAAGCUGGUGCUAUAGAACUAUGUAAAAAAUGGCAUGAAAAAUCAGAAAUACAACAAACACUUCCUCAAGUAAAACCUGACUCACCUAUUUCCUGAGGCAGGCAUGGGCAGAAAGGAGGAAAAAGUGGCUUUGGUGAAGCUUGGGUAUCAUGCCAGAUUUCCUGCACAUUUUUGUGAAGACCAUCUAGAAGCCCAUGCCUGCUUAUAACUGGCGAGAUGGGAUUAUGGAUUGUCAAGCAGCAGAACACACCCAGUGUCUCCUCUCCUACAGAGCGUCUGCUGCUAUGGACAUGUGCUGCCCUGGGAAAAGUCCACUGAAGGUGGAUGAUGCAGAUGAAAAGGCUACUUCACUUUUGGAAGCUGCCUAAUUCACUUCCAGGAGCAAACUUUUUGAUCGGUAGGAUAUGACUCAGAAUGCUGAUUGAAUUGGCUUCUCACUGUAUUUGUCAAGGCUAGAACAGACAAUGGCACUGCAGAAUCUUAUGUGCACAGAAGAAAUCUACAGACAUUCAAUGAGGGGAGGAUUUAGUUCCAUCAGAUGGGCUUCCUGACAUAAUUGCAAGGAGACCAUGAAACAACUCCAGUAUGCUUGCUUAAUUGUUGGGUAUUCCUGUGACAAAGAAGGCACUACUCAGCCAGCCAGAAUGCACUGACCACCACUGCAGGGUUUCAGUCACAUGAGACAUCUCGGUGAUAGAGGGAAGUGUGGGGAAUGGCUAUCAUUGAUGAGCCCGUAUCUUCUAAGUGAUCUGGGGACUAAGGCUUAUUUUUCUCCAGGCUUGUCUUAUGAAGAAGUUUUAGUUUAUUUGGAAUAGAUAAGGCUUAUACACAUAAAGUAACUGAUACUCAAUUAUAUGUAAUUAUGUUAGUUGGGGAUAAGGCUAAGCUGUGUUAUGUAGUGACUCAAAAAUGCGAUGACUCAAACAAGAUUGGAGCUUGUUUCUCUCCAGGAAUGAAUGGUCCCACACUCGGGGGCAGCUAGGCUGCUGGGAUCCAGGUUCCUUCACCUGUUGCUCUGUUAUGGUUGAAGCUGGCUUAUCCCAACCUCAUU
rnacentral:lncRNA from 1 species